rnacentral:rRNA from 1 species
UAACACGUGGAUAACCUGCCUUAUACUGGGGGAUAACAGCCAGAAAUGGCUGCUAAUACCGCAUAAGCGCACGGCGCCGCAUGGCGCAGUGUGAAAAACUCCGGUGGUAUAAGAUGGAUCCGCGCCUGAUUAGCUAGUUGGCGGGGCAGCGGCCCACCAAGGCGACGAUCAGUAGCCGGCCUGAGAGGGCGACCGGCCACAUUGGGACUGAGACACGGCCCAAACUCCUACGGGAGGCAGCAG